rnacentral:lncRNA from 1 species
UAUCAACGAACAUUGACAGUUCUCUCCAGAAUAAAGUCCGCUCUCUGUGGUGGAAGUUUGGCAUCCAGUGGUAAGGUCCAUUAUUGACAUCAGUAGUGUCUGUUGCAGAGUAUUCAUAGGAAUUUGGUCUGAUGGUCAAUUGGUUACAGGAGAAACUUUCCAGUCCUACCGAAACUAGCUUUUCAUUUUUAUAAAUAAAAAAUCCUUCUCUUUACUGGGACAUUGUACAUACUUUUGAGACAGUGUAGGCGUGUAUUACAACAACAACUACUACAACUAAGCUUCAGUCCCAAACAAGUUGGGGUCCACGAUAUGAAUCCUUACUUCUUUUUUCACUUCUCUCUUCUUUCUUUAGUGAAAGAAUAUUUAUCUACUCCCUUCCCAACCUCCAACCUGACCCAAUACAAGGAAAAGAAGAGCAAAAUUUACUUUAUUCCAGAAAAUUUUGGUUUAUGAGGGCCAUUUGUGUAAACUUACAGAAAGUGGUAAAACUCAUUGUUGACACCUCCAUCUUAUCCAACAUACAACAUGGUGGUAAAUUUCCAGUUUGUGGUGUCAAAUCAUCAAACUCUAAUAUUUAUUUUGCAAUUUCUUAGGAUCCUGGCUUUACUUAGAAGAGGUUGUUUCAGUUGCAUCUCAUAUUUGCAGAUAUUCCUUGUCC